UUUGAUUUCCGAACCAAUAGCAAAGUAAAUCUAAUAUUUUAAUAGGUUGGCCACACUCUGAUGACGUGUAUUUAAAGAUGUUCCCUAAUAUUGAGCCACCGCGGCCUCUUUAUCAUUCAGUCUCUUGUAGAGUCAGUCUCUUGACAGUGCGACUUUCCCACACGAACUCGGCGUGUUUUAAGGGCUGCUCGAAUCCUGUAAGCUCUUUUUUCCUUUUUCGGUCAUUUUAAACAAAGAAGUUUUUAAAAGGUUAAUGAAUAAUGUGUGUUUAGCUUCCAUGCCGCAAUCUAUCUUCCAUUUGCAAAAUCUUGAGAAAAUAUUCAGGGAAAAAUCAAAUUAAAACCCUAUCAGCAACGUCAUAGCCCUUUUAAACAUCACCGCUAGCCUGAAGGAAACACUGACCCUCUUAGUGCGCAAAAAGUUUUUGCGUUUUUUCUUCACUGAAUGUAAUGACAAACAAUAUUACUCUUAACUAGUAAAAGCAAAAUUGACCCACUAUAGGUGACAAAAUCCAUAAAGUACCAACGGUGAACACCACUGAAAUCCUUCGAGGAAUCUCUCAAAAUGCUUAAAGCGUGGGAAAAACAUAAAAUUGCCUAGCUUCAGACCAUGCCCUACUGUCAAGCAGUUGGAAAGUUUCUAAAUUCAUUUCACCAGCUUCUUCUAACCUACAUCCUGCUUCCGUGAUGGAAAGAUUUUAGUCUGUGUGAUGCUUUUAAGCAGUGGUAGAAAAGGGAAUAAAACUGUUAUAGUGUUAAGCUUC